CCUACGGGCGGCAGCAGUGGGGAAUAUUGGACAAUGGGGGGAACCCUGAUCCAGCCAUGCCGCGUGUGUGAAGAAGGCCCUCGGGUUGUAAAGCACUUUCAGUGAGGAAGAACGCCUGGUGGUUAAUACCCAUCAGGAAAGACAUCACUCACAGAAGAAGCACCGGCUAACUCCGUGCCAGCAGCCGCGGUAAUACGGAGGGUGCGAGCGUUAAUCGGAAUUACUGGGCGUAAAGCGCGCGUAGGUGGCUUGAUAAGCCGGUUGUGAAAGCCCCGGGCUCAACCUGGGAUCGGCAUCCGGAACUGUCAAGCUAGAGUGCAGGAGAGGAAGGUAGAAUUCCCGGUGUAGCGGUGAAAUGCGUAGAGAUCGGGAGGAAUACCAGUGGCGAAGGCGGCCUUCUGGACUGACACUGACACUGAGGUGCGAAAGCGUGGGUAGCAAACAGGAUUAGAUACCCCUGUAGUC
rnacentral:rRNA from 1 species